AUUGAACGCUGGCGGCAUGCCUUACACAUGCAAGUCGAACGGCAGCACGGGAGCAAUCCUGGUGGCGAGUGGCGAACGGGUGAGUAAAGUAUCGGAACGUGCCCAGUCGUGGGGGAUAACGUAGCGAAAGUUACGCUAAUACCGCAUACGAUCCAUGGAUGAAAGCGGGGGAUCGCAAGACCUCGCGCGAUUGGAGCGGCCGAUAUCGGAUUAGGUAGUUGGUGGGGUAAAGGCUCACCAAGCCGACGAUCUGUAGCUGGUCUGAGAGGACGACCAGCCACACUGGGACUGAGACACGGCCCAGACUCCUACGGGAGGCAGCAGUGGGGAAUUUUGGACAAUGGGCGAAAGCCUGAUCCAGCCAUGCCGCGUGCAGGAUGAAGGCCUUCGGGUUGUAAACUGCUUUUGUACGGAACGAAAAGGUUUGGCCUAAUAAGCUGAGCUCAUGACGGUACCGUAAGAAUAAGCACCGGCUAACUACGUGCCAGCAGCCGCCGUAA
rnacentral:rRNA from 1 species